GGAGCUGUGGCUCAGUAGUAGAGCCUCUGCUUGGCAUGCAGAAAGUCCUGGUUUCAAUCCCAGGCAUCUCCA
rnacentral:tRNA from 1 species